GGAAGGUCCGGGCGUUAUCCGGAUUUAUUGGGUUUAAAGGGAGCGUAGGCCGGAGAUUAAGCGUGUUGUGAAAUGUAGACGCUCAACGUCUGCACUGCAGCGCGAACUGGUUUCCUUGAGUACGCACAAAGUGGGCGGAAUUCGUGGUGUAGCGGUGAAAUGCUUAGAUAUCACGAAGAACUCCGAUUGCGAAGGCAGCUCACUGGAGCGCAACUGACGCUGAAGCUCGAAAGUGCGGGUAUCGAACAGGAUUAGAUACCCUGGUAGUCCGCACAGUAAACGAUGAAUGCUAUCUGUCCGGUGCGAAUGAGCGCUGGGUGGCACAGCGAAAGCGUUAAGCAUUCCACCUGGGGAGU
rnacentral:rRNA from 1 species